AUGAUGGAGUCGUACGCCGCGUCCCCCAAGGACGGCGGCGGGGGUGGCGCCGAGGGCGGCCGCGCCGAUGCUGCCACCGGCCUGGAAGAGUCGAUGUGGAGGCUGGGGCUGGCCGGCGGAGAGGAGGCCGCCGGGGAGGGGCUGCCGGAACGGCCCGGCGAGGCCAACUGCGUCUACUACCUCCGCACGGGGGCCUGCGGCUACGGGGAGACUUGCCGCUACAACCACCCUCGCGAUCGCGCUGCCGCGUUUGAUGGAGGGACAAGGACCGCACGCACAGUGGAGUAUCCAGAACGCCCAGGUCAGCCACCGUGUGAGUACUACAUGAAGAAUGGGACUUGUAAGUUUGGCUCUAAUUGCAAGUAUAAUCAUCCCAGAGAAGGCGGUUCUGUACAACCAGUUGUCUUAAAUUCCUGUGGUUACCCUCUGCGUCUGGGUGAGAAAGAGUGUUCCUACUAUAUCAAAACUGGCCAUUGCAAAUUUGGAUCAACAUGUAAAUUUCAUCACCCAGAAGGGCCAGAACAUGGUGUUGUUUCAGAGACACCAAACAUGUAUCCACCAGUUCAACAACUGCCUGUCUCUUCCCCUCUUCCAUAUCCACCUCUAGCCAGUUGGCAAUUGGGGAGGCCUUCUGUUCUGCCCGGAUCAUUUUUCCCGGGCUCUUAUCCUCCAAUGAUGCACCCAUCUGCAGUCAUGCCAAUGCAGGGAUGGAACCCUUACAUGCCACCUAUCAACCAAGUCGCGUCAGCUGGGGGACAGCAAACUGUUCAGGCAGGAUCAUUGUAUGGCUUAUCACACCAAGGACCUCCAUCUGCAGUUGCUUAUGGCAGUAAUUAUGCAUCGUUGUCUUCUUCAACAUGGCCUUCAAUUGACAAACAAGAAGUUGUCUUUCCAGAGCGGCCUGGGCAGCCUGAAUGCCACCACUACAUGAAGACAGGGACCUGUAAAUUUGGAUCCACAUGUAAAUACAAUCAUCCUCAGUACCUGAGUACACCUAGGUCCAACUAUAUGCUGAGCCCUCUAGGUCUUCCAAUUCGGCCGGGUGCCCAGCCAUGUCUUUACUAUUCACAGCAUGGGUUUUGCAAAUUCGGUCCCGGAUGCAAAUUUGAUCACCCACUGGGUGCUCUGAGCUACAGUCCUUCAGCAUCAUCGCUUGGUGACGUGCCUAUCGCUCCAUAUCCUCUCAGUCUCCCUGUUGCUCCUAUGGCCCCAUCUCCAUCAUCUUCUGGUCUACGGCCAGAUUACAUUCUGGCCAAGGACUCCUCAGCAAAUCAGCCAGCGUCACCUGGAACUACAUUUGGAAAUGCUGGACAGUUGUCAAAAAUUUAUGCUCCACACAUGCUUCUCCGUCCUCCAACUUCUGCAACCGGUGCCACUGUCACCAUCCAUGGUGGAGAGUUCUGA
rnacentral:rRNA from 1 species